rnacentral:rRNA from 1 species
GCCAGACUCCUACGGGAGGCAGCAGUGGGGGAUAUUGCACAAUGGGGGAAACCCUGAUGCAGCGACGCCGCGUGGGUGAAGAAGCGCCUCGGCGCGUAAAGCCCUGUCAGCAGGGAAGAAAAUGACGGUACCUGAAGAAGAAGCCCCGGCUAACUACGUGCCAGCAGCCGCGGUAAUACGUAGGGGGCAAGCGUUAUCUGGAUUUACUGGGUGUAAAGGGGGCGCAGACGGCAGCGCAAGCCAGGAGUGAAAGCCCGGGGCCCAACCCCGGGACUGCUCUUGGAACUGCGCGGCUGGAGUGCAGGAGGGGCAGGCGGAAUUCCUAGUGUAGCGGUGAAAUGCGUAGAUAUUAGGAGGAACACCGGUGGCGAAGGCGGCCUGCUGGACCGUGACUGACGUUGAGGCUCGAGAGCGUGGGGAGCAAACAGGAUUAGAUACCCCCGUA